rnacentral:rRNA from 1 species
UACGGAGGGUGCAAGCGUUAUCCGGAUUCACUGGGUUUAAAGGGUGCGUAGGUGGGCAGGUAAGUCAGUGGUGAAAUCUCCGGGCUUAACCCGGAAACUGCCAUUGAUACUAUCAGUCUUGAAUACCGUGGAGGUAAGCGGAAUAUGUCGUGUAGCGGUGAAAUGCGUAGAUAUCGGAAGGAACAUCAGUGGCGAAAGCGGCUUCCUGGACCAGCACCGACGUUCAGGCACGAAAGCGUGGGAGCAAACAGGAUUAGAU